UUGUGGAGAAGGACGCCGAAGGUGGGGCUGAUGACUGGGGUGAAGUCGUAACAAGGUAGCCGUACCGGAAGGUGCGGCUGGAUCACCUCCUAACAGGGAGACAAUUAAUUGAUUGUGAUGUCUAAGUCAUUUAUUCUUAGGCCGCAAUCCUGUCACCUUAAGGUCGAUCGGUACCUCAGAUUUUUGAAUUAAUUUUAUAAUUAAUCCUUUAAUUUCAGUUCCUAAACUUGUCUAGGUCACACCCAACAAGGUUUCUCCUGGGCCAUUAGCUCAGGUGGUUAGAGCGCACCCCUGAUAAGGGUGAGGUCCCUGGUUCAAGUCCAGGAUGGCCCAUUCGUUGUUGGGGGUAUAGCUCAGUUGGUAGAGCGCCUGCUUUGCAAGCAGGAUGUCAGCGGUUCGAGUCCGCUUACCUCCACUGAAAUCCACCCUGGUAACUAAAUUCCGGAGAAAAUUUUUUAGAUGUGACUUAGAACUGUCUAUUGAAAAGAACCUAGCUUCUUAUCAUCUUUUUGUAGUUGAUAACAUGCUGGGCUCGCAUGGAUUUUUCCAUACGAAUUCAGUAGAACCUUGAAAACUGCAUAGAUUAGAAAGAAUAAAGCAUUUCAUGGAUGCAUAAUUCUUGUAUGAUUUUUUAGCUUAAAAAACUAACUGGUCAAAUAUAAGAAUUCAUGUUUAAUUCUUGAGUAAAAGCCGAGCACAAUUGAUUUUGUGAUUGUAUUAAGGUCAAGCUACAA
rnacentral:misc_RNA from 1 species